UUUGCGAUAGUGCAAUAUGGUGCAGAGAUCAGGACUGAGCUCUCACUGCUAGACAGUAAGAAUCAUGCUAGAGCCUUUCAAAAGGUCAAAGAAAUACAUCAAAUAUUCAGUAUCGGAAAGACCGCCUCAGCCAUCCAUCAUGUCCUCACAGAUAUUUUCAUGCCUGAGAAUGGAUCAAAAAAUAACUCCAAAAAAAUUAUAAUUGUAUUGUCUGAUGGACAAAUGCUGGGAGAUCCAAUGAAUCUUACAGAUGUUUUGAACAUGCCACAAAUGAAAGGUGUCACUCGCUAUUCCAUAGGAGUUGGUAAAGGCAUUCUGUCUAACCCCAAAGCAAUACAAGAGAUGAGGGAAAUAGCAGAUCCUAAUAGGUUUUUUAAUGUUUCCAAUUAUGCUGCAUUAGAAGACUUUUUUUCCUUAAUGGACCCCAGUGGGACUGAUUUUAACCCUCCUGCUCAGCUCAUAAAAAUGUGUGUCAAAGUCUGAAGGCUCCAGAACAUGGAUGAAGAUGAAGAAGAUUCCUUCUUCAAAUAGAUGUGGAAAACCAUUUACUCUUCUUUUUAUAUGAUUCUGAAAGUAUAUUUAGGCAUUAGUUGUUAUAGUUAGAAAAGUGGCUUCACUGACAGACAUUUAACUGUCUGUUUUAAGUUUAGGGCUUAUACAGUACCAAAGUGUCAUGGUGGAAAGAUGU